AUUGAACGCUGGCGGCAUGCCUUACACAUGCAAGUCGAACGGCAGCACGGGAGCAAUCCUGGUGGCGAGUGGCGAACGGGUGAGUAAUAUAUCGGAACGUGCCCGGUCGUGGGGGAUAACGUAGCGAAAGCUACGCUAAUACCGCAUACGAUCUAUGGAUGAAAGCGGGGGAUCGCAAGACCUCGCGCGAUUGGAGCGGCCGAUAUCAGAUUAGGUAGUUGGUGAGGUAAAGGCUCACCAAGCCGACGAUCUGUAGCUGGUCUGAGAGGACGACCAGCCACACUGGGACUGAGACACGGCCCAGACUCCUACGGGAGGCAGCAGUGGGGAAUUUUGGACAAUGGGCGCAAGCCUGAUCCAGCAAUGCCGCGUGCAGGAUGAAGGCC
rnacentral:rRNA from 1 species